CAGCUCCUAUGCUGGGCCAUGGAUCCUGCACCAGGAACGCUCUCCAGUGCCAGCUCCCGUGGGCGGUGAGCCACUGGCCCUGCCAGCUGCUCGGUUUUUCUCUUCAUUUCUCUCAUAUGAGAUCGCCCUUGUUCUCAACUAAGGUAGUACUUUUAAUACCAAAAAGAUUUGUUCUUCUCCAAGCUCUCUGUGACUUUGGAGUGAGUGGGCUGGGGAAUAUGCUCAUAUGCUCAGUCCUCCAUUUGGCCCUGGGAGCCGUGAAAUCAGGCAGCGGAGGAGCAAAGGGAUCAAAGGGGUAAUUUAGGAACAGGCUGUGCUGGUGGAGUGGACCUGGACGUUCAGGGACUGGAGUGCUCAGUCUGACCCCUCCCGGGGCAGGCAAGCUGUCCCAACCCAUGUCAGGAACCUCGGUCACAGCUCGGUAGCGGUUUUAACUCCAGAACCAUGUGGCCUGAAUUAGACGCGAAUUUUCCCCUGGAUUCCUGCGGCUCCCUAGGGAUUCGGCUCCACAGUGACCUUCCAGAGGAGAGGCUGAAGAGCAAAGAGCCUGGCAGGACUUCUGAGGUCCUUCGAUGAAUGCCCUCUCAGGAAGUACCUGGAGCGGCUCAGUUUUCCCGGCUGUACCGACUUGUGCCAGCUGUCAGCGAUAUUUUCCAGGCCAGCUUUAUAUCAACUCUCCCUCCAGCCACCUGCCAAUAGAUCGUGUUUAUUCUGGAUUUCAUUGUCAUCAGAGACUGAGCUACUCAAGGUGAGGACACUCAAGUUGCAGGUGUCCAUUCCAUUGCAGUGACAUGGAGGACUUCCUUAACAUCGGUCUCCAGUGGUUUGGCCAAAAGGUUUACAAAUCGAAGGCAUCCUCUGAAUAGGAGCUUUUUCUCUUUUGGUUCCCUGCUACAACCCCAACGUUUCAUCAUGAACACUCUACAUACAGUAAUAUUCAAAGAGUUCUACAGUGAGUGGUUGCGUACCCAUGUCAACUGAUGAAGGAAUUUAUUCAAUGGAACUUGAGUCCCAGGAAGCAGUCCAACAGAGGAUUCUGAGGAACUUCUUGAAGUCUACAGAUUUGAGCAUAAUUUAUAUACCUUUUAACAAAGCGGUGUCCGUGCAGGAAAGGGCUCAGGCAUCCAACAGUCAUCUGCUCCAAGGAUAACAUGAACUUUUUGGUUAUACGUCAAACAAGGCCUGUACUGUUGAUGUUAUCUAUGUGUGGAGGGAGGCAAGGACCGGGGUGGUCUCUUUCCCCCUCAAUCUCUAAGAAGUGCAGCUGGGAAAGGCGAGAGUGAGGUACCCAUGAUCUCUUCCUGUUACUGAUUCACCCUCCACUCAUGACGUGAGGCAUUGCAAGGUCAUUCUGGCACAGGCUCAUGAGGCCCACAUGGCUGCUUCACAGUACAGCUUGGAUUUGUAUUGUCCUCACUUUAAGCCUGUGCUAGAUUCGCCUGUUAGACCAGGG
rnacentral:lncRNA from 1 species